CAGCCGCCGCGGGAAUACAGAGGGUGCAAGCGUUAAUCGGAAUUACUGGGCGUAAAGCGCGCGUAGGUGGUUCGCCAAGUUGGAUGUGAAAUCCCCGGGCUCAACCUGGGAACUGCAUCCAAAACUGGCAAGCUAGAGUAUGGUAGAGGGUGGUGGAAUUUCCUGUGUAGCGGUGAAAUGCGUAGAUAUAGGAAGGAACACCAGUGGCGAAGGCGACCACCUGGACUGAUACUGACACUGAGGUGCGAAAGCGUGGGGAGCAAACAGGAUUAGAUACCCCCGUAGUCCCUGUCUCUUAUAC
rnacentral:rRNA from 1 species